CUCAAAACAAACACACAAAACAACUGCUUUUUAGUGGUUUUAACACGCACAAUCAACUCUGUUGGACUGAUGUAGCCUAUUCCUUGUCAUCAUUCACCAAAGGCUAACGUUAAAGUAACGAUCUGUGUUUGCUGGGGUUAGAGAUUAUUUACAACGAACUACAUCGCUUGCAACGUGUUAUAUCACGCCCCAGAAUCUCGAAUUUAACGCCUUUUUCACGCAGUGACUCCCCUCCUCUGCACGAAAUGGUUUGAUCCAGUGGACAGUUGCAAUGCUUCGGGAGAGAGCAGUUACAUAUUGAACACAUUAUAGCGGAGCAGCAGCUUCUUCAACAGUGCCGGAAGGUUUCGCUACAAUGUAGACUAAUGUAUUUUCUUCUAAACGCCCUAACAAGUACGAGCACUGCAUCGGUAUCUCGAAAUGCAUGCUGCGAUAAACAAUUUCUUCAUUUGUUGUCUCUCCAUACUGGUUCGUAUGUACCAAUGUUGGUAGAAACGGGGGCUCUACACAAACCCGGACAACCUUAACAUAAUCGGAAAGUUGAUUGGAUUACGGGCUCGCGACGAUACGUGUUUUGCAGACUUGAGCCCCACAUUCUUUAACAGUGCGCGAGGAAGUGAGGGGACAGAUUGGGCGACACGGACCGAUAAAUUGACGACAAUGAACGUGGAAUUACCUCCAGUUGCAACAUGGCUGCUGCUUAGAUGUUUAUUGGAAAAGUUCAGCCCCGAACAUUAAGAAAGUUUUAUUUUUAAUCUCAUGCGAAUAAAAAGGACCUUUUCUGACAUAAUUCAACUCUGGUUUGGACUGGACUGGAUAGGACUCCGCAGGGAAUCAGCGCGAGAGUAGCUCGCCGUCAUUCGGUUUGGUUCCUGCAUGACAGCAAACCAACACCGAGGACUUUCCGUGAAUAUUCUCGCUAUUUACAACAUUAUCAACUUCGUGGAAGACGUACAGUCGCAGGUUAGAAAAUGCAUUUCUCCAUCCCUGAGACGGAAGUCCGCUCCGAUGAAAACGGAUCUACAUAUGUGGCUUACAAUAUCCAUGUCAAUGGUGUCUUGCAUUGUCGGGUACGAUACAGCCAACUCUUGGGUCUGCAUGAACAGAUAAAGAAAGAAUACGGAACUAAUGUGGUGCCAGCUUUUCCUCCAAAGAAGCUCUUCACUCUCACACCAGCUGAAGUCGAGCAGAGGAGAGAACAACUAGAGAAGUACAUGCAAGCUGUGCGUCAAGACCCCAUUCUGGGAUCCAGUGAGAUUUUCAACAGCUUUUUGAGAAAAGCUCAACAGGAGACCCAGCAGAUCCCCACUGAGGAGGUGCAGCUUGAAAUCUACUUGUCCAAUGGCCAGAUGGUCAAAGUCAACAUCCUCACCUCUGACCAGACAGAAGAUGUUCUUGAGGCUGUGGCCUCAAAGCUUGACCUCCCUGAAGAGCUGGUGGGAUACUUCAGUCUCUUUCUGGUUCAAGAGAGGGGGGAUGGGGGCUGCACAUACGUGAGAAAACUGCAAGAAUUUGAGCUGCCCUACGUGUCCGUCACCAGCCUGCACAGUCCUGAUUUCCACAUCGUCCUCCGCAAAAGCUACUGGGAUACAGCAUAUGACAGUGAUGUCAUGGAUGAUUGUGUGGGACUAAACUUGUUAUAUGCUCAGACGGUGUCUGACAUAGAGCGGGGAUGGGUCCUGGUGAACAAAGAGCAGCACAGACAGCUCAAUUCCCUGCAGGAGAAGGGCUCAAAGAAGGAGUUCAUUAGAUUGGCUCAGACACUGAAAUACUAUGGCUACAUCAAGUUUGAUCCUUGUGUCACAGAUUUCCCAGAAAAGGGCUGUCAUGUUAUAGUCGGUGCUGGCAACAAUGAACUCAACUUUCAUGUCAAACUACCCAGCGAGCAGAUGAAGGAGGGCAGCUUUAAAGUCACACGCAUGAGAUGCUGGCGGGUCACUUCAUCUCAGGUGCCGGUGGCGAAUGGUACCGCAAACCCAAGCAGUUCCAGUAAAUGUGAUGUGAAACUAGAGCUGGCCUUCGAGUACUUGAUGAGCAAAGACCGCCUCCAGUGGGUCACCAUCACCAGUCCUCAGGCAAUUAUGAUGAGUAUCUGUCUCCAGUCUAUGGUAGAUGAGCUGAUGGUGAAGAAAUCUGGUGGAAGUAUUAAAAAACAGAUGCAGAAGAAGCGACUAAACGGCACGCUCCAUCGAUCUGACAGUCAGCAAGCUGUGAAGUCUCCUCCCUUACUGGAUUCCCCCAAUCCCAGCCGUGAACAAGUAGUCAAACUUUCUGGAUCAGGAGAGAAGCGCCUUUUUAAGGCGGGAGGGAUCUGAUGUCCAUCUGAUGCGUGAGAGUGGUCUGCUCUGACUGCGUGAGAGAAAAUACCAAGCUGUCCUCAGUCUCCCUGAGAGGACUCAGUUCUUCCAACUCAGCUAGCGACAUCAGUGGCAAUGAUUUCCAUGGAAACUACGCCUUUGAAGGAAUCGGGGACGAUGACCUGUGAUGGAGCCUCCCUCAUAGACUGGACUCAAGGGGGGAGUGCAGAAUAAUUUAGCAGUUUCUCUGACCUGUAGUUUAAUAUGUAAAAUGUUGUAACCCCUUUCAGCAAAUUUUUGAAAAAUUAUAGCAGAGCUAAAACAAAACAUAUAGUUCUAUUAAGCUCAGUUAAAAUUGCCUUGCCCCAUAAAGUACAUCAUUUUGAUUCAAAACCUCUCAUUAGUCUUAUGUUGAAGUAUGAAACUAAAUAUCUCAGUUGAAGUAAACUAUAAUUUGGACAAUUCCAAGGAUUAAUCCAGGGUUACAAAGCUGUCUCAGAGCAAGUUACUGCAUUCAAGAGAGACAUGAAUUUUAGGCUGUGAUGAAUGAUAGACUCCACUGAAUCAUACUUCCUCACUAGAGACACAAAACUGUGCUUUUCCUUUCAUAUCUCAUCAUCGGGUGGUGUGAAAUUCAAUUCCUGCCACCUCAUUUUCUCUUGCUCGUGACUGCAACUGCCUUCCAGAGAAAGAUUCAUACCAGCAAAUUGUGUUCAUAUUUUCCUUUUAAAAUCGAUCAAGAAUAUUUAAUAGAGAAGUGAUUUGCUUUAUAUUGUGCAGUGUGCCAAUGUUUUUCCAAUUCUCUACCUAUUGCGUGGUAGCUCUCUGCAACUUCCUGUUAUUUUGGGAGAGGUAAUUGGAAUCGUGUUGAUUAGUGGACGUAUUGUGUAUUCAUUGCAGCAUCAGUGAUUAUUCUAGAACACGAGCAGAUUGAAGAUCACUCUUUAUUGUGGCCUGCUUUUUCUCUGCCUUACGCUGAGUCAACCGCCUUACAGUUCAGAAUCAACUUCGCAAAAUGAAAAUAUAAUGUAGCGCCAGGGACAAGUUGGCUGAAAGGUUCUCAUAUUUUGACCUCAGCUAUGUCCUGAAUCUUGCCUGUUUGCUGUGUUCGGCAGGCCCGCUUGCACUAGCUGAACCCAUGUUUUUUUGCACAGUAUUAAGAAAAGUAGAUGGCUCUGGUAUUUAUUGAGAUAUUAACUGUGGGAAAACAUCCUGGACCAUUCUCAAGAGGUUUUUAGGACUGUCAUUUGAUUUUUGUGUUUGUAUCUGUUAUUCGAACAAAUAUAUUCAAAAGGUUUCUCAUAAAUGCCAAAAUGAUCAUUUAAAGCAUAGACUGACUAAAGCAUUUUGCACACAAAAAAACAAGAUCAUGGUUGUCACUUUUAUAAAUGUACAUGCAAUAAUAAUAAUUUAAAAAAAAGUAUUCUAAAUAAUUGCUAAUCUCUGUAUUCUGUUUUAGUAUAUUGUAACAAAGUACUUUUGAUCAAAUAUAUUCCAGGCUAUAUAAGAGAUUAGAAACUAGCAUGUAUCAUUGUUUACAAAAAAUUGUUCAGAAAGAAGUGUUUACAAAUUCCACAUCUAAUUUUCAGUGAUCAUCUUAGCACAAAUUAUACAUUUUAUUUGGAAGAACACCAUUCCAUUUUUUUAUUUUUUUUUUUUUUUUAUAAAUGCAUUGUGGCAAUCAUCUCAGAGGACUAUGAUAAGAUGGUGCUUGGAAAAUGCUGGGGUUUUGACUGCAUUGAUAGUCAAGCUGAAUGAAAAGACCAUAUCAUUCAUUCUGCAGUAGCCUUCAUUCCAGAGACACGAUUCCUCCCAUUCGCAGAAUGUGUUCAAUGCAAAGGUUAUUCUAAUGUUAAUGUGCUGCACAGGGUGUCUGAUUUAUUUUUGAAUUAUUGACUGUAAUUCGUGAUUGCUGGGUUCAGUAUGUUCACCAGCAUAUCUAGAAUAAAAAGGGUAUACCAUUUAUACUCCUAAAACGUAUAUGUCUCUCAUAACGCUUGUCAAUAUGAUUUUAUUUUACAAAUCCUCAAUCAUUUUAAAUGCAAGAAUGGAAGUUAUAGAGCCGUCUGGGUUUCAAUAAAUGUAGGUGCCAAACAAUGCCA